GCGCACUGUACCUUGGCUUGACAAAACAAACGUCAAAUCGUAUGACGUAUCACUGAGUGUUUAUGAAUAUAAUAUACUUUUGUUCCAAAUGCCUCAAUGCAGUGCGUUAAAUUGUAAAAACAGAGGAAUACAUUUAUUUCCAAAGGAAAGUAAACGUAGAAAGCAAUGGGAAUCUGCGUUACGUAUAAAAAAACUUCGAAGCUAGUAGCACAGCACGAUUGUGUGUUGCGCAUUUUACAGAAAAAAGAUUAUUACGGGAAAAUCAAUUAUACAGGUUAUGAGCUCCUUGCAAAAUUUCUUAAAAAGACAGCUGUGCUAUCUGUGUUCUUCUUAACGAAGAUAAAACCAGAAAAUCCAGCUGCUGUGGCACAUCAACAACGUAUUGAACGAAGAAGUCAGUCGAGUAACAAAUGUAGAUAAUUCACAACCAUCAAGUAGCAAAGUUAACCUAAUAAGUGACAGAGACAAUUUACUGGAAGUUGAUCAUGAAGAAGCAGUCAAAACAGAAGACAACAGUGCAGUAGGAUGUACAUAUAUUAUGCAUGAAUUUAUAUCUAAGGGCACUCAAGUUGAUCAAGAACACAAAUAUGGGUUUAUGAAUAGAUAUAAAGAUGAUAAUGCCACUAUUAAGUUUUACACAGGUUUUGAAUCAUAUAAAAAAUUUAAUUUAGUCUACUCAGCUCUUAGUCCAGUGGUUCACAAAAUAAAAUAUUAUGGCAGCAAUGUGAUUAUUCUUAGCAGUGAUUCUAAUUCUAAUUUAUUAGUUGGUGCAAUACCUGGUAGCUUGCUGUUAUAUUGUUCCCAAGCAUUUGCAGGAUUGAUAAGUGAUCAGUAGGCAGUGGAACAAAGUGACCUUUUAGCAAAAUGUGAAAGUGGUAGUAGUAUACUGACUGACAGAGGAUUUAUGAUACAAUAUAUAUUUCAUCAGACAAAAAUGUGACCAUUAGGAUUCCCAGUUUCUUAAAAGAAAAAUUUCAGUUGCCUGGUCUUAAUGUAAUAAAAGAUAGGGAGCUUGCAAACAAAGGAGUUCAUAUAGAAAGAAUAAUAGGAUUAACAAAGACAAACAAAAUUUUAAAAAUGAAUUAGACCAUAACUAUAUCCCAAUAGUGAGCAAAAUCUUUUUUUAUGUUUUAUGUGCUAAACAUCUACAAUUUCAGGAAUUAUACUAUUACUAUAUUGUGAAAGAUAUUAGAUAAAAAGAUGUAAUUAUUUCAAUUUAUUUAUUAAUUGUAAAUAGUUCUUAUACACAUACUUAUUUACAUUUCUGGUUCUAAAUUAUGUACAUAAAAGUUUAACAAAUUUGUCAACAUGCCAUUAAUAAAUGAGUCAUCUCUA
rnacentral:lncRNA from 1 species